GACGAACGCUGGCGGCGUGCUUAACACAUGCAAGUCGAGCGGUAAGGCCCUUUCGGGGGUACACGAGCGGCGAACGGGUGAGUAACACGUGGGUGACCUGCCCUCAGCUCUGGGAUAAGCCUGGGAAACCGGGUCUAAUACUGGAUAUGACUCCAUGACGCAUGUUGUGGGGUGGAAAGCCUUGUGCGGCUGAGGAUGGGCCCGCGGCCUAUCAGCUUGUUGGUGGGGUGANGGCCUACCAAGGCGACGACGGGUAGCCGGCCUGAGAGGGCGACCGGCCACACUGGGACUGAGACACGGCCCAGACUCCUACGGGAGGCAGCAGGUGGGGAAUCUUGCGCAAUGGGCGAAAGCCUGACGCAGCGACGCCGCGUGAGGGAUGACGCU
rnacentral:rRNA from 1 species